CCCCAAGGUUCCGGGCGCUCCGACAUCCGCCAAUUCCGCCCGAUCACGGUGAUCAACGUGAUCUUCAGGAUAUUGGCUAAAGGGUACGCCAAUAGGGUGACCCUUCUUGCGGACUAUGUCACCCACCCCAACCAAUCCGCCUUCAUCCAAGGCCGGUUUAUUUUGGAUGGGGUGCUGGUCUUUCACGAGGUCCUCCACGAAGUCCGCUCCAAACACCACCGUGCGGUCUUCCUGAAGCUAGACUUCCACAAAGCCUACGACACUGUCCACUGGCCCUUCCUUCGGGAAGUCAUGCUCCGUAAGGGCUUCGACGACCGUUGGGUGACCCGCGUUAUGCAAUUGGUCUUCUGCGGUCGGACUGCGGUCAACAUCAACGGUGAGAUCGGACCCUACUUCCCCACCUUAUGUGGGGUCCACCAGGGCGAUCCGUUUUCCCCAUUCUUAUUGAACAUGGUGGUUGAUGCCCUUGCGGUCAUUCUUGAUAAGGCCAAAGCCUGUGGCCACCUCCGCGGCGUUGUCCCCCAUCUUGUAGGGGGGGAGGGUCUCCCUCCUCCAAUAUGCGGACGACACCAUAGUUAUGGUGGAGGGCUCCAUGUCUGA
rnacentral:rRNA from 1 species